GAGCUGGCUCAGGACGAACGCUGGCGGCGUGCUUAACACAUGCAAGUCGAACGGAAAGGUCUCUUCGGAGAUACUCGAGUGGCGAACGGGUGAGUAACACGUGGGUGAUCUGCCCUGCACUUCGGGAUAAGCCUGGGAAACUGGGUCUAAUACCGGAUAGGACCACGGGAUGCAUGUCUUGUGGUGGAAAGCGCUUUAGCGGUGUGGGAUGAGCCCGCGGCCUAUCAGCUUGUUGGUGGGGUGACGGCCUACCAAGGCGACGACGGGUAGCCGGCCUGAGAGGGUGUCCGGCCACACUGGGACUGAGAUACGGCCCAGACUCCUACGGGAGGCAGCAGUGGGGAAUAUUGCACAAUGGGCGCAAGCCUGAUGCAGCGACGCCGCGUGGGGGAUGACGGCCUUCGGGUUGUAAACCUCUUUCACCAUCGACGAAGGUCCGGGUUCUCUCGGAUUGACGGUAGGUGGAGAAGAAGCACCGGCCAACUACGUGCCAGCAGCCGCGGUAAUACGUAGGGUGCGAGCGUU
rnacentral:rRNA from 1 species